CUGCAGUCAGCCCAGACCCAAAAUCUGGUUGAGAAUCUGCUCUAGAGCAGGCUUAGCUUCUCAGACCUGCAAGACAACUCUAGAGGGAGGCCCAAAAUCUCACUGAGUUUUUUGUAUACUUGGAAUGCAUUCAUGUACCAUCCACAUACCCCACACUGUUCUAAAAGUCACCCCCAAAGAUUAGCAGAGAAUGGAUCUGAUGCCGUGAUGUGCUCAGAAGCCCAUGACCAGCUGAGAUGUGAGGUGGCAAUGAAGGUUGGGCAGCUUCCCCUCUUCCACAACAGAGCUGAACUCUGCUGGACAGAAUAAUCUUUGGACAGAGCCCAGAGACAGUUGCUGCAAUAUUCCUGCACCUACUCCUGACAAUUCCUAUUUCACUCCAUUUCAAUUUCCUCCCAGGUGUUUCAGCUGGUCUUUUUGGUACCAAUGAUAAUGAAGCUGGAAACGAAUGGAUGGUGCCUAAUGGUUCUUUCACUGACAACAUGAAAGAGUUCACACAGAGCUGGCAGGUGAAUAAGUGCAGUCUCAUACAGAAGAAAGAGAAGCCAUGCCCAAUUACAGCUAAGCAAAACAUCUGUAAAGUGUUCUUUGAAGAACCACAUUCACUUCUUAGGAACUGCUUCAAAGUUGUAAGUAGAACUUCAGCCAGAAGCAGUGUCUUAAUUAUGUGUCAUACUUCCAAGGAGAUCACAUAACCAUUGCAAGGAUGUAGAAGUUUAAUUGCAGAAAACUGUAGAAGUAAGCAAAACAGCAAUCCAGACAGAAAAGAAGGUGGUUUUAUCACCCUAAAUAUAAAUGGAGGUUUUUGAAUUGACAGAGUAGUGGCAUAACUGCUCUUUACGAUACAGGUCUAGAAUUUGGAAACAGAAAUAACCUCCUCACUGUUAUGAAGGGAAUAAAGGAUUAUGAAUGGUCCUAACCAGGCAGGGGGGAGGGGACACAACCCGAACCUCUGGAUUUACCUGCAGGUUGCCCCUAACGCCUCCCUUUGUACCCAGGUGGAGCCUGAGCCAUUCUACACCAUGUGUACACAGGACACCUGUGACUCCCCAGCCUUGGGGGCUGCCUGCAGCUUAGCAGCAGCUUUUGUUCAUUUGUGCAACCGGAAUUUUGUCCCUGUGGAAAUCCCUCCACAGUGCUCCAGCCAGUUCUGAAUGGCAGAUACCAGCCCUGAAGAUGGAAGAACCCUUCCAGUACCCAAAAGGGAACAGUUAUUUUAGGUAGGCAAGCUAGAGGCAAGAACAGGGAAAGAACAGUAGAUGUGUUGAUGCAUUAGUGUUAACUGUGAAUAUAGUGAAGUAUAUAUAGUAUAAAAGGAAAGCUUUCCACCCAGAACCCCUGAGGGCAAGAGGAAUUAUUUCAGUAUAUUGACAAGAAACUAUAAUCAACCAAAAGAUAUUGGAAAGUAGCAGUUACUCUAAAAAAAUUCUCCCAUUCAGUGGCAAAAUUACCUCUCCACAAGUCUUGAACCACAGCACAAAUACACUGAAAAGCUGAGAAAAGCUCUCUUCCAGCUCAGAUUAGUACAAGUGGACUACUUUGUGAAAGCAGCAUCAUCAGCUUAGAGUCAGCAGAAAUGCUGACUUCUUUUUUCUCCAGAAAUGAAACUCCACUGUUCAGUGGUUCUGGAGAAAGUUAUCUGGGAAGUGCUCCAACACACAAGAAGGCCAAGACAGAAAUAAGAUGGGUAAAUAAUGGAAAGCAGCUAAUAAUUUUCUCAUUUUUGUGCUGAUUUUUCCCUUUUUAAUGUAUGCACUGUUAAAUGAGAAACAGCCUUCUUAGUUUCUGUGCACCAGUUGCACAUUUUCCCUUUGUGUCUUUAGAAACCCGUCAGCAAUCAGUUGCUGUGUUGAGGGGUGACCAAGAUCUACCCUACCCAUGAAGUACCGUUAGGGUGUUACAGCUACUGCUGUGUGAGUGUCUCACCUGUUAAAUCACUUUCUGUAUUGUAGGUCACUUGAUUUAAAAUUUGCAUUACCUUCCUCCACACAGCUGCUUGGAAUGCAGCUACUCCUUGGUAAAAGGUAAUGCUGCAAAUGCAAUGUUUGCAAAAUAUGCAAACAUUGAAAUAAAGGUAUUUCCUACUAUGACA
rnacentral:lncRNA from 1 species